rnacentral:rRNA from 1 species
ACGGCCGUACCAUGCUGAAUAUACCGGUUCUCGUUAGAUCACCGAAGUCAAGCAUCAUUGGGCGCGGUCAGUACUUGGGUGGGUGACCACCUGGGAACACUGCGUGUCGUU